rnacentral:lncRNA from 1 species
CCGGGCCAUCGAUCCGUCCAUCCAGAUGCAGAUCAAGAGACCCCACGUCCUGCCUCCAAGCCAAGGCGCUGCACAGCCCUAGCAUGCUCUGCUCCCAGCAGUGAGGCAGCAAGGGGGGCUCUGGGCACGGGAAGGGGAUGGCACAUACAGGGCUGUGGGACAUGGCUGCGCCAUGAGGACAUGGGUCACCAAAGCAACAGGACCUUCCGUUGAGGACCUGAAGAAGUGAUUGGGGUCAUCCAUAGGAGCGUCUACCAUGGGGUGUGCCCCUGCACGGUGCACCCAUUCCCAGCAAUCACACCCCAUUAUGAACCACACAGAAUAAAAAUGAGAUGAG